rnacentral:sRNA from 1 species
AUCUCCUCAGAAUCAGGGUUGAGCCCAAUACGUCACCACUGGCGGAUGAAGCGGCGUAUUGCAAUCACCUUGAUGUCUUGAGGCUUUUCAGUAAAACAACUCUCACUUGCCUAGGGGACUUCAAACAACUCCACCCUGUGGGUUUCGACUCCCAUUGCUAUGUAUUUGACAUCAUGCCUCAGACCCAAUUAAAGACCAUCUGGAGGUUCGGGCAGAAUAUCUGUGAUGCCAUUCAACCAGAUUACAGGGACAAACUUAUGUCCAUGGUCAACACGACCCGUGUGACCUACGUGGAAAAACCUGUCAGGUAUGGGCAAGUCCUCACCCCCUACCACAGGGACCGAGAGGACGGCGCCAUUACUAUCGACUCCAGUCAAGGCGCCACAUUUGAUGUGGUUACACUGCAUUUGCCCACUAAAGAUUCACUCAACAGGCAAAGAGCUCUUGUUGCUAUCACCAGGGCAAGACAUACUAUCUUCGUGUAUGACCCACACAGGCAACUGCAGAGCAUGUUUGAUCUCCCCGCGAAAGGCACACCCGUCAACCUCGCAGUGCACCGUGACGAACAGCUGAUCGUAUUAGACAGAAACAACAGAGAAAUCACGGUUGCUCAGGCUCC